rnacentral:rRNA from 1 species
UACGUAGGGUGCAAGCGUUAAUCGGAAUUACUGGGCGUAAAGCGUGCGCAGGCGGUUCGUUGUGUCGGCGGUGAAAGCCCCGGGCUUAACCUGGGAAUGGCCGUUGAAACUGGCGAACUGGAGUGUGGCAGAGGGGGGUGGAAUUCCGCGUGUAGCAGUGAAAUGCGUAGAGAUGCGGAGGAACACCGAUGGCGAAGGCAGCCCCCUGGGCUAACACUGACGCCUCAGGCACGAAAGCGUGGGGAGCAACAGG